UUGCUAUGAUGACUUCUUAGGACACCUUUGGAUGAACCAUGAAAAUAAACACUAUAAGCUGAGCAAC